CUUCCUGAAGGAAGACUGCAGACUGACUGAGAAUGACAGACAGUCAUGAUCCAACUGGUGACAGGAGUGCAGCUGGUGGAGGCCAAGAGAUGCCUUGUGAUUCCUUUUAAGGGGGCCCUGUAUACCCUGUCUGCUUAGAAAGCAGCCUUGAGAACUAACAAACCAUCUACAAGAAAAGGAGCAAAGCAAACUUCCUGUCUCAGGAGGUUGUAAAACAAGCAAUUCCUCACCAUCCAUCCAUCUGCAUACCUAAGCCAUGAUGUAUGUAGCCAAAAGACCGUGAGUUUUGGUGAAGUCAACAUAGUAAUUGGCUGAAUGGGUUGUCAGAGGCACCAC